GCAGGUUACGUCAGCGGCGGACGGCAAGGCGGGGAGAGGGGCAGCCCGCUCGCGGCCCUCCCGCCUGGCUCUCGCCUCGGCCUGCGGCCGGGAUCCUCCGCCCGGGUCGCGCAGCGGAGGCCGAGGGCUGGGACGGGCGGCUGGGAAGUGGGAAAGGGAGCUCCUUUUGUCUUCUCUUCCCAUCCCCCAGGUUUGGGAAAGUUUUCCUUUUGGGAAAGCCCCUCUCUUCAGCCUGCUGGCGGGUGUCGGAUUGGUUAGCGACCACCGGCCCCCGCCUCCCCCAACAGGAUUCUCCUUUGGGCCACAGGUCUUCCGGAAGUUGCCAAACCCCGGUAGCGGCAGCGUCCGGCUGGGGGCUUUAUUAGGGGGCACCGGGGUCUGCUUUCCGACUCCCUUCCGACUCCGCGCCUGCGCAGGAAGCGAUUUGGGGAGUGUUGUGAAUUCCGAGGGCUCCACACUUAAGAGGUUGUACACUCACCUGUCUACCUGGACUCCAAUUUCCAUAUUUCCAGCCACUUGAGGACUGAGAGGUGGAUGAUAAACCCUGUCAUAGUGGAGCAAGUUCAGGUGUUUAACCGCUGUUAUGGGGGAUCUGCCUUUUCUCCCUCUUCUUUCUUACUUCCAUAAGUAUGUAUGUGCAGAGAUUGAAAAAUAACCUUGAGAGAGUCCAUCCAUCUAACUCCAGGAAACAUUGCAGCGUUAUAAGAGAAAUUAUAGACUAUUUGUUGAAGCUCAGCAUGUCCAUCUCCCUGCUUUGAAGAAGGAUGUUGGGAACUGACUGUAAGGAAGACAGGAUUGGAGAACCAGGUUUAGAAGAGAAAAGGCAGUGCCAGAAGUUUUUGAUUGGAGAAAACUACAGGGUAAUGUUGCACAAGAACCAUUGCUGGACUGCAUCAUUGCUUACCCAACAUGACUCAGCCUCGGUAUUGCCACUGACUCACGGAGCUCCUAAUAGAGGAGAAUUAGUGUCACAGAUCGACUGGAAAACCAAUCCACAUGAAGCCAGGAAGAGAAAUGAAGCUGCUGUUGCUGAAUCCAUAGCUGGCCUUAAUGAUGCUGGCUAGGAAAGACGGCCCAUUCUGGGGGAGAUAAGUCAAUUUUGCAGUGUCUGUUAUUAUCAUAGUGACUAUUGUCUUCCUGUUUUAUAUUUAUUUACCUAAAUUGUUUUGGAAAGACUCAGAGGUAUAGAGACAUGCCUACUUUUUGCAAAAAUCAUCACACUGUCAUGGAGGUAGUCCAGGCUAUGGGGCUCUUAUUUGUUGGUGUCUUGGGCAAGUUGCUUGACCUCUGAUCAUUGUUUGCUUAUUCUUAUAUGGCCCCUGUAUUUCAGACUCACUCUGUGUCAGGCAUUUGUUUACCUUUGUAGCAAGCUCAGGAGGAAAAUACCAUUGCCCUUGUUUUACAGGUGAUGAAACUGUACGUUUUCCAAGGACACAGUGCUAGUAAGUAAUGAAUGUGAAAUUUUAACUGUUUCAAUCUCUUCUCAGAGCCAGUGCUAACUACUCUCCUAAACUUCCUCUCAUCUGUAAAAUAUGGAUGAUAAUAACACCUCUUACAGAGUUGUUGUACAUAUUAAAUAAUAGAACUGUGAAAUGUGUAGUACUUCAUUACGCAUUAGGCAAUCAAUAAAUGGUUGAUAGUAUUACUAAAAAUAAUGAAGAAAAAUCUUCACUAAAGCAUCCAUAGCAGGAAGUCCUUGCUAGAACAUAA
rnacentral:lncRNA from 1 species